rnacentral:lncRNA from 1 species
AAACACUUAUAAACCCCUUAAAAACCAUUAUAAACCCCUGAAAACCACUAAAACCCCUAAAAAAACUUAUAAACCCCUAAAAAACCACUAUAAACCCUUGAAAAACCACUAUAAACCCUUCAAUUAAAAACCUCUCCAAAAAGUUAUAAACCCCUUAAAAACCAGUAUAGACCCCUAAAAACCACUAAAACCCCCUCAAAACACCUAUAAACCCCUUAAAAUCCACUAUGAACCCUUCAAACCCACUGAAAACCUUAAAAUCCACUAAAACCCCUUAAAGACACUUUUAAACCCCUCAAAAACCUUUAUAAACCCCUAAAGACCACUAAAAACACUUAUAAACCCAUCAAAAACCACUAUAAACCCUUAAAAACAACUAAAAACACUUUUAAACCCCUCAAAAACCACUAGAAACACUUUUAAACCCCUCAAAAGCCAAUAUAAACUCUUAAAAACGACUAAAACCCCUUAAAACACAUAUAAACAUUCAAAAACCAUUAUAAACCCUUAAAAACCACUAAAAACCCCUAAAA